rnacentral:rRNA from 1 species
CCUACGGGAGGCUGCAGUGGGGAAUAUUGGACAAUGGGGGGAACCCUGAUCCAGCCAUGCCGCGUGUGUGAAGAAGGCCCUCGGGUUGUAAAGCACUUUCAGUGAGGAAGAACGCCUGGUGGUUAAUACCCAUCAGGAAAGACAUCACUCACAGAAGAAGCACCGGCUAACUCCGUGCCAGCAGCCGCGGUAAUACGGAGGGUGCGAGCGUUAAUCGGAAUUACUGGGCGUAAAGCGCGCGUAGGUGGCUUGAUAAGCCGGUUGUGAAAGCCCCGGGCUCAACCUGGGAACGGCAUCCGGAACUGUCAAGCUAGAGUGCAGGAGAGGAAGGUAGAAUUCCCGGUGUAGCGGUGAAAUGCGUAGAGAUCGGGAGGAAUACCAGUGGCGAAGGCGGCCUUCUGGACUGACACUGACACUGAGGUGCGAAAGCGUGGGAAGCAAACAGGAUUAGAUACCCUGGUAGUC